CAGUUCAGAUUGCAGGCUGCAACCCGCCUGCAUGAAGUCGGAAUUGCUAGUAAUCGCGGAUCAGCAUGCCGCGGUGAAUACGUUCCCGGGCCUUGUACACACCGCCCGUCACACCAUGGGAGCCGGUAAUACCCGAAGUCAGUAGUCCAACCUCAUGAGGACGCUGCCAAAGGUAGGAUUGGCGACUGGGGUGAAGUCGUAACAAGGUAAC
rnacentral:rRNA from 1 species